ensembl:snRNA U6 U6 spliceosomal RNA
GUGCUCGCUUCGGCAGCACGCACACUAAAACUGGAACGACACGGGGAAGAUUAGCGCGGCCCCCGGGCAAGGACGACACACAAAGUCGUGAAGCCAUUGUU